GAAGAGCUUGUGGAUAUUAUUUUUUUGCUCCUCAACCAUUAAAGUAAACUUCUCUCUUCUCAUUUAACACAAAUUUCACUGCAAAAUGUCAAGAAAGAUGAAGUUUUUCUCUUUUUAGUUCAUCUCUAAAUCCCCAAUUGCUACUCCAAUUCAAAGAUGCUAAGUGAUUUUAAUAGAAAGAAAUUCUGGAAGUCUUUCAUUGUUGUUGUGUAAAAAAUUGAUUGUUUUUUAAGAUACAUACAGAAGAUCUAAUCAAAGCCCUAUUAGAAGGUGAUGAAAUUGAUUCACGAUCAAUGUUUUUGAUUUCGAAAUUAGUAAAGAAACGGAGUGAAGCUGAAAGUAUUUGAAAAUGGACAGUAGCAUCGUGCGAUAACAUUAGUUGAAAAAGAAGAUUGAGACGGAGUCGAUAUCUCUAGAUUAGAAAUGAGCUUGAAAAAGAGAACGAAAAGGUGAAAAAAAAUGAAGAGCAAAUUGGUUAAUGCCAAAAGUAGAGAGAAUGUGUGUUGGUAUAUUAUCUUGUAUGACUCUACUCUAGAUUUGAUAUCUAAUUGCGAUUUGAUCUUUUGAAUCAUCGUGCAAGUCAGUUUUCAUGGGUUGAUCUGUAAUCUUUAGUGUAUGUAAUUGUAUAGACAACUUAUUUUCUCAAAAAUAUGAUGCUUUAGCUCUUAUAAUUGAAGUGCAGAUUUUACGUUGAAAAUUUGGUCCCUUGUCAUUGUAGAAUCUGGUGCAAAUUGAACAUAUCUGGUGCACAUUUUAUUGAGAAUACCUGGUGCAUCAAUAUUGAGAAUUUUAAUGUAAAUUGAGCAUAUGUGCUUAUAAUCAAUGGAAAAAUUUGGUGCAUUGAAACAUUUUAUUAGCACAUCUGGUGCACUUUUAAUGAGCACACUCAUGUCUAGUGAAGUUCGGAAUGGAUAUGAUGUACGUAGAUCUUAUCCUUACCUUGUGAAGAUAGAGAGAUAGUUUCUGAUAGAUUCUAAGCUUUAAAAAAGUAACUUCAAAGUAGAUACAUCCAAGGUGAAAUAUCUAUGAUACUUGAUGUUGUUGUAAGGGCAACAGACAAUGAUAACUAACAGGGAAGUGAUGCAAUUUUUGAAGAUCUGUUUGCUUGCAAAACAGUUUACGUAGCUCUGGUGCUUAUCAAGGGUUGGGACCAUUUGUUCAACUCCAAGAUUCUUAUUUCAAUUUUUAUACGAUCACAUCUUUCUCAUAUCGAUCAAGGCUUUUUUUGGGUUUGAAAUAAGGGGACAAGAAGUAAGAGCAUAGAUCCUUUAGAUUCAACAUCGUAACUUAUCAAAAUCACAUUACAUGAGUUGAUUCAAAAAUAUGAACAAAAGCAACAAAAGAAAUACUAAAGUUAAUUUGUAAUAUCUUCACUUCAACCAGCUACUAGCAUGAAACCAACAAAAUAUCUUCACUUCAACCAGCCGCAAAAACUCAAAAAAUUCUUCACUUCAAUCAGCUAUCAAAUAAUCAACAAAAAUAUGGCCACUUCAAAAUAGCUAUCCUUCUGAAACAUAUAGAAUCACCAUUAACUAAGAUAUAAACCCAAAAAAAAGAGUAGGUGUGACCAAAUAAAAAAGAUACCAGAUUAAAUAUUCAUGUCGAACAACGCAACAUUAUCAUCAUGGAUAAAAUUUGUUCUUCUAACCUGUAGAAGGAAAAAAAUCAGAUUCUUUUAAGAUUUCAACCUAACUUACUUAGGUAUAAAAAUAUUUACCGGCAACUUUUCAGGUACAAAUGAAGUAGAAGGCAUCCAACAAGCUGACUCAAAAACUCCUCCUUCUGGCUGUACAUAGUUAAACUUGCAAGUUCUCAUAUUAUGGCCAAACUUGUGCCAUCGACUACAGUUAACUGGUGUUUGCUUCUUCUUCAUCUUAGUUCUACUUGAUCCUACUUCAUCUUGUUCUUUCCUUCUCAACUUUUGCUUUCUCCCUGACUUAUUUUGUCUUGAAAAGAUUAGAGGCAAAGGAGGGAUCUUGCCUGAUUUAGGCCACAACUGUGAACCAUUUAUUGGAAGAAUAGCUAGUUCAUAGAUUCGCUUAUACAUUUCCACCUUAUAGCAGUCAUCCACAUAAUUAAUAACCUCGUCAUUUUUAUGCCAAAUUGCCGAAAUAGCAUGCUUGCAAGGGAUUCCUGUAAUGGUCCAUUUUCUACAGCUACAUUUUCUGCCAGCAAGGUCCACAGCCCAAAUGUCGCUCACACUUCCGCCAAAAAUUUCAAAGUUCCAUUCAUUCGACUUUUUAGGAAUAAAACCAGCAGCAUCUUUUUCAUUUUUGUGCAGAAUACUCUUGAUCCGAGGGCAAAUAUCAUCAGAAUUCCAUUUAUCAGCUUUAUCCCUGUUAGCUUGUAAUCCUGCCAUAAGAAGAUAUCUUAAUUUUUCCAACAAAGUAAUGAUUGGCUAAUCUCGAGCAUCAAGUAUCAUACUAUUAAACAAUUCACACAUAUUAUUCAACAAAAUAUCACACUUAGCAUUGGGAGAAAAAUGUGAUUUAGACCAUUCAGUAGGUUCCUUUUCUUUCAACCAUACAACAACUUCGACAUCCAAUUUAACAAUGUUAUUGAUGCGAGCAUUAAAAAAUUCCACAGUUGUAGCACUUGCAGCAGCCCAAAGUGCACAUUUUAGUGAGGAACCACUAAAACCAGUCCUCUUGAAAUUAUUAUGAAGAUGUCUCACGCAAAAUCUAUGACUCACGGAUGGCAAAACUUCAUUAAACGCUUCAAUGAGAUCUUUUUGUUUGUCAGACAUAAAGGUCCAAUCAGCUUGAUCAUUAAUCUCCAAAUCAUCAAUUAAGUAGGUCAAAAACCAUGACCAUGUCUCCCUAGUUUCCUUUUCUACAACUGCAUAGGCCACUGGAAAAAUAUUAUUAUUGGCAUCCAAGCCAACUGCAGUCAACAACUGAUAUCCAUACAUUUGACCCUUCAAACAAAAAAAAAAAAAAUAAAAAAAAAAAAAAAGGGGGGGGGGGGGGGGGGGUACGGUGAGAAGAUGUGAUAGAAUGGGGGUAAGAAAAAUGUUUUAAAAAAUAUAUUAUUUUUUAGGUUAAUAAUUCUUUAAUCCUUAAUUUUAACUAAUACUAAUAAUUUAUUUAAUUUUUGCCAAGGUGGAAUGUUUUGUCCAUAUGGAGUGAGAUGUGACAAUUAAUUUUUAAAUAAAAGAGAGAGUGUAGUACACACCAUGAAGAGAAUGUAAUAAUAUAGAGGGAUGUAUUUCUAAAACUCACUAGUGAUAGUUUAGUUAUGAAACUCCUCAGUAGUUUAAGUAUGAAACUAAAAAAAUAUGGAGAGUUUAGAUAUGUUUUUGACAUUUUUCUCUUAAACAAAUGUUGAGUAUUUAUAAUAAUUGAUUGUGAACUCUACUAUUAAUAUUACUAUUUCAAAUUGAAAAAUUAUUAUAAAUUUAAGAAAGUUCAAAUCCAAAUUCAUCUGAAACUCCAAAUUUGUUGAUAAAAUCUUGGAUAUUAUACUUACCUUAAUUCAAACUUUGACUAAAUUUCCAAAGAUAUUGUAUCGUGUACUAGAACUCCUUCCAUCCCAAAUAAGUGUUACUUUAGCAGAAAAAAAGUGUGUUCCAAAAUAAAUCUCAUCUGGGAAUUUAAGACACGAAUUUAUACUUUCUUUGGUUCUUGUUAAGUGAAUUAUUAGGUAGGAUACAUAUAUUAAGAAAAGAAAAGAAUUGUUCCACUUUGUUGUACUCCUACUCAUAGGCGAAUUCAAGAUUAAGAGUUUGGGAAUUCUAAUUUUUUUUAGAAAAUAAGAGGGGAUUCGGAACUACAACUUUAGCUUGAAAAAUAUUUUCACGUCUCUUCCUUACUACUGAACAGUCAAUCAAUUAUGUUAGGGGUUCACAAGUUAAUAUACACAUAUUUAUUUAUUUAAUUUUCUAGUACAAAUACAAGAUCUAUGAAAAAGUUAUUGGAUUCGUCUGAAACCACGAACCCCCACCUAGCUCCACCUCUGCUCCUGCUCGUUUUACUCAUGACACAUCAUUUAACGAGGAACAAAUAACAUGCUGAUUUUAUUAUAGAAUAAAUUAAUGCUUUGAAAAAUAAUUAUAACUAAUAACAAAAAUAAAUUAAAACUAAUUGAUAAAAUUAAAUAAAAAAAAAUAAUCAUCUAUUUUUAAUAUAAUAGAUAUUUAAACUUCCUAAACAUAAUAAAAAGUUAACUUAAUAAUUAAGGAAAUCCCAAGUUCAAACACUAUAUUUGUAUUUUUCAAACCGAGAAAACUGGGGAAACAAAAUUUGUACCUAACAUAUUAUCCCACAUACCCAUAUACUAUAUAGUAAUACAGCUUUUUCUAUACCAUGAAAUUCAGAAAAAACUAUCUCUGCCACAUGACACGGACCUAAGAAAAAAUUACAACAAUUUUGAUAGACAACGAACACAUUUUGUAAGUAAAAAUAUAAAAUUACUUGUUCAAAGUAUGCUAAAAUGGUUGGGUGUGUAUUUGGUCCUCUCACAUUGGCAUCUCUUCUUUUUCCCUCAAUUUGUUCACUUUUCUAUUCAGUGUUUGUCUUAUACUCUGCUGCUGAGUUGAUAAAUCAAAAUUCAUGAGCUACUCCGCGGAAAUACAACACCCUAAUAAGUAGUAUUAUAUUUCCUAUUUGAUUAAUUAUGGGGAAAAUGAGCACAUACAUGGAUAUAACCUUCGUUAGAAAAAUGGGGCAAAUAUACUUUUGACACUAUUUGGAUUAAAUAAAAAAAUCAAACCAAAUUUUUAUUUAGAUUGGUUUUUUAUUAGGUUUUGAAUUAAUAAUUUACUUUGUAUGGUUUUUGGUUUGGUUUCGGAUUUAGAAAACUAAAAUAAAGAAAAUAAAUUAUACACUUUUGUCUCUUUUUAUUAUGGUCUUUCAUUGUAAUUAAGUUUCUAAUUUAUGUUUGGACAUCUACAAUUAGUAUACUUAUAAGUAUUGUGUUUUGAAUUUUAGUUAUGAUUUAUAUUAGAAAGUAUUUUUCAGAGAUUCAAUAUUAUUACUUCUCUGAGUAUUUUUUUUUUCAAAUUACAAAUAUAACUAUGAUUAUGUUAUUAAUUAAUGACGUAAUCGAAUAGCCAAACCAAAAAAAAUUCAAACCAAACCAAAUUUAUUUUGAUUUGGAUUAGAUUACACUUUCUCAAAAUUAAAAAAUCCAAAUCAAAAAACCGAAUGCACUAUCACGUAUGAAAUAAUGUUAAUAUACCCUUUUUGCUAACAGAUCUGUAUUUUUUGAAUUGAAAAAACACUUACCUUGUCUUUAUAAAUAAAUUUUAACAAGCCAUGUAAAUUUAAAUUUACCCUGCCUUCUAUUUUAUUUUACCUUGUCUCUAUCCCAAAUAUUUUUUAGUUCAAAAAGUACAGAUCUAUUAAAAAAAAUACUUAAACAACAAAAGUAUACCAUUUUGUUAACGAGAAAUAUAGCCCAUCUAAGUUUAGGACAAACACAAUAUUGCAAUUAUAAGUUCAUGAGCAUACCUCAAUAGCUCCUACUUCUUUUUGUUUGUUUGUUUUUACAUUUUCGUAUAUGACUAAUAUUGUAAUUUGUGGUUUUACUAGUGAUACCUGUUAAGUUUCAAAAGCAUGGUGUAUAAUACUUUCCCCCUUUAUUAACUUUCAGGGGGAAAAUGUAUAAGUGGAGUAUGUAAAUGGUCGCUUUGCUUGAUUUUUUUGGCAAGAGUUUCAUUUUUUCUUUGACCUUAAAUUAGGAUUACUUAUAUAAGUCUAAUUUAAUUUUUGAUAAGUUGACUUGUAGGUCCCACAAACUUAUUUUUAAGUAUAAAGUAAUAAAGGCAUUAUUGAUUCUACAUUUUUCCUAAUUGGAAUACAUAAUAAUAAUAAUAAUAACAACAAAAUUACCUUAAUACACAACUUAUUUUAUUAUAUUUUCUAAAUUUAUCUAAAGUAAUAAAAGAUGUAUCGGGAUGUACGCGAUGUCGUUGAGUGAUAUAUCUAAGAUGAGACGCGAUGUAUCGGAACGUUGAGUGAUGUAUCUGAAAUCGAAACGUUGAAUGAUGUAUCUGAAAUUCUUAAAUUUUAAGAAUUUUUUGGAAUUUGAAAAAGAAUAAGAAUGUGAUAUAAUUAGCUUUUUAAUUACACUAUGAAAUUUGUGUAAAAUUAUCAUAAAAAUUAAAAUAUAAAAAGAUGUCUAAAUUCAGCGACAUCUAAGUCCUAACAAAACAACUCUAUUUUAAAAUUAAAGUAUGAGCAAUUUGUAUGAUCAAAAUUUGCUCAUACUAGAUGUUAACAUAAGGCAAUAAAUACAUGAUAUAUAUUGACAGUUGUAUAGUUCUAAGCAGUGAAGGAGCCAUCUUAUAUUUAGGGAUUCAUCUGAACCCUCUUCAGCGGAAAAUUAUAUUAUUUAUACAUGAUUAAAAUAAUUUUUUAGUUAUAUAUAGUAGAUGUCGAUUCCCCUUCGAUUACUUUAUGUGUCUAUUUUCUCAGAUUUUGAACCCCUAUUAAAUUUUUUGGCUUCGCCACUGGUUCAAGGGUGGCAAUGUUAAGGAUUGUAUGAUAUUACUAACUCUAUGCCAGGACCACACAGCUUAUGUUUUGAAUUGUAGACUUGUAGUUCCGUAUUUUUUAAUGGGAACCAUGUAAGGCAGAGAAAAUGAUCAAAAUGGUCCUUAAUGUAUAAGGGUUGUUUUAUGUUGAUCCUUAAUAUAUUCCACAUGACCUAUAUGGUCCUUAAUGUAUUAUAAAAGAGGAUCAAUUUGAUCCUUUGACCUAGAACUAACAGAUACAUCAAAAUAAUCAGGUUAACUUUAACGCCUGGUCCCACAUGCAAAAUUUAAAACGCUCAAAAGUUUUCUCUUUCCCCUUCAUUCUCCAUUUUUCGGAUCUGUUUCAGAAGAGCUUGUGGAUAUUAUUUUUUUGCUCCUCAACCAUUAAAGUAAACUUCUCUCUUCUCAUUUAACACAAAUUUCACUGCAAAAUGUCAAGAAAGAUGAAGUUUUUCUCUUUUUAGUUCAUCUCUAAAUCCCCAAUUGCUACUCCAAUUCAAAGAUGCUAAGUGAUUUUAAUAGAAAGAAAUUCUGGAAGUCUUUCAUUGUUGUUGUGUAAAAAAUUGAUUGUUUUUUAAGAUACAUACAGAAGAUCUAAUCAAAGCCCUAUUAGAAGGUGAUGAAAUUGAUUCACGAUCAAUGUUUUUGAUUUCGAAAUUAGUAAAGAAACGGAGUGAAGCUGAAAGUAUUUGAAAAUGGACAGUAGCAUCGUGCGAUAACAUUAGUUGAAAAAGAAGAUUGAGACGGAGUCGAUAUCUCUAGAUUAGAAAUGAGCUUGAAAAAGAGAACGAAAAGGUGAAAAAAAAUGAAGAG
rnacentral:lncRNA from 1 species